rnacentral:rRNA from 1 species
CGGAGGAUCCAAGCGUUAUCCGGAAUCAUUGGGUUUAAAGGGUCCGUAGGCGGUCAGAUAAGUCAGUGGUGAAAGCCCAUCGCUCAACGGUGGAACGGCCAUUGAUACUGUCUGACUUGAAUUAUUAGGAAGUAACUAGAAUAUGUAGUGUAGCGGUGAAAUGCUUAGAGAUUACAUGGAAUACCAAUUGCGAAGGCAGGUUACUACUAAUAUAUUGACGCUGAUGGACGAAAGCGUGGUAGCGAACAGGAUU